GGGUUUCCUGCUUCUGCAGUGCUUGGACGGAAUCC
rfam:Gorilla gorilla gorilla genomic chromosome, chr6, whole genome shotgun sequence